ensembl:snRNA U1 U1 spliceosomal RNA
AUACUUACCUGGCAAGGGAGAUACUGUGAUCAUGAAGGCGGUUCACUCAGAGCGAGACUCAGCCAUUGCACUCCGGCUGUGCUGACCCCUGUGAAUUUCCCAAAUGUGUAAAUCUCGAUUGCAGAAUUUCUGGUAGUGGGGGACUGCGUUCGCUCUCUCCCCUG